GACGAACGCUGGCGGCGUGCCUAAUACAUGCAAGUUGAGCGAUGAAGAUUGGUGCUUGCCCCAAUUUGAAGAGCAGCGAACGGGUGAGUAACGCGUGGGGAAUCUGCCUUUGAGCGGGGGACAACAUUUGGAAACGAAUGCUAAUACCGCAUAACAACUUUAAACAUAAGUUUUAAGUUUGAAAGAUGCAAUUGCAUCACUCAAAGAUGAUCCCGCGUUGUAUUAGCUAGUUGGUGAGGUAAAGGCUCACCAAGGCGAUGAUACAUAGCCGACCUGAGAGGGUGGUCGGCCACAUUGGGACUGAGACCCGGCCCAAACGCCUACGGGAGGCAGCAGUAGGGAAUCGUCGGCAAUGGACGAAAGUCUGACCGAGCAACGCCGCGUGAGUGAAGAAGGGUUUCGGAUCGUAAAACUCUGUUGGUAGAGAAGAACGUUGGUGAGAGUGGAAAGCUCAUCAAGUGACGGUAACUACCCAGAAAGGGACGGCUAACUACGUG
rnacentral:rRNA from 1 species